GGCGAAACGAAACUUGUGAAUCGUGCAUUUGCUCUUCAUGGUAGCUGCCAGAAAAUCGAAUCAAACUUAUGGGACACUGGAUUACAGGUUGCUGCCACUACUCCAUGUGCCCGCAAUUGUCUUGCGUGUAUGAUUACACUAACGACGUCGCCCACCACGGCGGAAGUGUUUUGCGUACACGCGUUUCAGCAUGAAGCCUGCAGGUGGACGUAAAUUGUAGAAGGCAGCUAGUGGGGGAGAAGAUCAUGGUCAUAGAUCAUGUGGCUCCUGGAGCUCCCAGUGGGCUCCCUUGUGGAGUACUUUUCAGAACACACACACAGUUCGCUCACAGAACCAACGAGUAGGAUGUUGCUUGAAUACUGAGAGAAAAUGGCGUAACACAUACAAAUAUCGUGUGACACAUAUGACAAUAAAAACAUUUUUCACGAGGGA